rnacentral:rRNA from 1 species
GAUGAACGCUGGCGGCGUGCCUAAUACAUGCAAGCCGAGCGAACGGACGAGAAGCUUGCUUCUCUGAUGUUAGCGGCGGACGGGUGAGUAACACGUGGAUAACCUACCUAUAAGACUGGGAUAACUUCGGGAAACCGGAGCUAAUACCGGAUAAUAUUUUGAACCGCAUGGUUCAAAAGUGAAAGACGGUCUUGCUGUCACUUAUAGAUGGAUCCGCGCUGCAUUAGCUAGUUGGUAAGGUAACGGCUUACCAAGGCAACGAUGCAUAGCCGACCUGAGAGGGUGAUAGGCCACACUGGAACUGAGACACGGUCCAGACUCCUACGGGAGGCAGCAGUAGGGAAUCUUCCGCAAUGGGCGAAAGCCUGACGGAGCAACGCCGCGUGAGUGAUGAAGGUCUUCGGAUCGUAAAACUCUGUUAUUAGGGAAGAACAUAUGUGUAAGUAACUGUGCACAUCUUGACGGUACCUAAUCAGAAAGCCACGGCUAACUACGUG